rnacentral:tRNA from 1 species
GGCCCCAUAGUUCAACUGAAUAGAAUAUCAGAUUUCGGCUCUGACGGUUGCAGGUUUGAAUCCUGCUGGGGUCA